rnacentral:rRNA from 1 species
UGGUGGAGUGAUUUGUCUGGUUAAUUCCGAUAACGAACGAGACUCUGUCCUGCUAACUAGGUUGUGUUUUUCUCGGGUUGGUGUUCUGGUGUUCCUUCUCGGGGCGCCGGCCCAAUCCACUUGUGAACACAACACUCUUCUUAGAGGGACUGGCGGCUGUUAGCCGCACGAGAUAGAGCAAUAACA